GACGAACGCUGGCGGCGUGCUUAACACAUGCAAGUCGAACGGAAAGGCCCUGCUUUUGUGGGGUGCUCGAGUGGCGAACGGGUGAGUAACACGUGAGUAACCUGCCCUUGACUUUGGGACAACUUCGGGAAACUGGGGCUAAUACCGGAUAGGAGCUCCUGCUGCAUGGUGGGGGUUGGAAAGUUUCGGCGGUUGGGGAUGGACUCGCGGCUUAUCAGCUUGUUGGUGGGGUAGUGGCUUACCAAGGCUUUGACGGGUAGCCGGCCUGAGAGGGUGACCGGCCACAUUGGGACUGAGAUACGGCCCAGACUCCUACGGGAGGCAGCAGUGGGGAAUAUUGCACAAUGGGCGGAAGCCUGAUGCAGCAACGCCGCGUGCGGGAUGACGGCCUUCGGGUUGUAAACCGCUUUCGCCUGUGACGAAGCGUGAGUGACGGUAAUGGGUAAAGAAGCACCGGCUAACUACGUG
rnacentral:rRNA from 1 species